rnacentral:rRNA from 1 species
AUUGAACGCUGGCGGCAUGCUUUACACAUGCAAGUCGAACGGCAGCGCGGGCUUCGGCCUGGCUGCGAGUGGCGAACGGGUGAGUAAUGCAUCGGAACGUGCCCAGUAGUGGGGGAUAGCCCGGCGAAAGCCGGAUUAAUACCGCAUACGCCCUGAGGGUGAAAGCGGGGGACCGAAAGGCCUCGCGCCAUUGGAGCGGCCGAUGUCGGAUUAGCUAGUUGGUGGGGUAAAGGCUUACCAAGGCGACGAUCCGUAGCUGGUCUGAGAGGACGACCAGCCACACUGGAACUGAGACACGGCCCAGACUCCUACGGGAGGCAGCAGUGGGGAAUUUUGGACAAUGGGGGCAACCCUGAUCCAGCCAUGCCGCGUGCGGGAAGAAGGCCUUCGGGUUGUAAACCGCUUUUGUUCGGGAAGAAAUCCUCUGGGCUAAUACCCCGGGGGGAUGACGGUACCGGAAGAAUAAGCACCGGCUAACUACGUG